GAUGAACGCUGGCGGCGUGCCUAAUACAUGCAAGUCGAGCGAACGGACGAGAAGCUUGCUUCUCUGAUGUUUGCGGCGGACGGGUGAGUAACACGUGGAUAACCUACCUAUAAGACUGGGAUAACUUCGGGAAACCGGAGCUAAUACCGGAUGAUAUUUUGAACCGCAUGGUUCAAAAGUGAAAGACGGUCUUGCUGUCACUUAUCGAUGGAUCCGCGCUGCAUUAGCUAGUUGGUGAGGUAACGGCUUACCAAGGCAACGAUGCAUAGCCGACCUGAGAGGGUGGUCGGCCACACUGGAACUGAGACACGGUCCAGACUCCUACGGGAGGCAGCAGUAGGGAAUCUUCCGCAAAGGGCGAAAGCCUGACGGAGCAACGCCGCGUGAGUGAUGAAGGUCUUCGGAUCGUAAAACUCUGUUAUUAGGGAAGAACAUAUGUGUAAGUAACUGUGCACAUCUUGACGGUACCUAAUCAGAAAGCCACGGCUAACUACGUG
rnacentral:rRNA from 1 species